CAAUAGCGUAUAUUUAAGUUGCUGCAGUUAAAAAGCUCGUAGUUGGAUUUCGGGUGGGAAUGGCCGGUCCGCCGUUUCGGUGUGCACUUGCUACGCCCACCUUGCUUCCGGGGACGUGCUCUUGAGUUCACGCUCGGGACACGGAGUCGGCGAGGUUACUUUGAGUAAAUUAGAGUGUUCAAAGCAGGCCUACGCUCUGAAUACAUUAGCAUGGAAUAACACGAUAGGACUCUGGCCUAUCUUGUUGGUCUGUAGGACCGGAGUAAUGAUUAAGAGGGACAGUCGGGGGCAUUCGUAUUUCAUUGUCAGAGGUGAAAUUCUUGGAUUUAUGAAAGACGAACUACUGCGAAAGCAUUUGCCAAGGAUGUUUUCAUUAA
rnacentral:rRNA from 1 species